rnacentral:rRNA from 1 species
AUUGAACGCUGGCGGCAGGCCUAACACAUGCAAGUCGAGCGGAUGAAGGGAGCUUGCUCCUGGAUUCAGCGGCGGACGGGUGAGUAAUGCCUAGGAAUCUGCCUGGUAGUGGGGGAUAACGUCCGGAAACGGGCGCUAAUACCGCAUACGUCCUGAGGGAGAAAGUGGGGGAUCUUCGGACCUACGCUAUCAGAUGAGCCUAGGUCGGAUUAGCUAGUUGGUGGGGUAAAGGCCUACCAAGGCGACGAUCCGUAACUGGUCUGAGAGGAUGAUCAGUCACACUGGAACUGAGACACGGUCCAGACUCCUACGGGAGGCAGCAGUGGGGAAUAUUGGACAAUGGGCGAAAGCCUGAUCCAGCCAUGCCGCGUGUGUGAAGAAGGUCUUCGGAUUGUAAAGCACUUUAAGUUGGGAGGAAGGGCAGUAAGUUAAUACCUUGCUGUUUUGACGUUACCAACAGAAUAAGCACCGGCUAACUUCGUG